GUCGCAAACAACACUUCAUAUACAAUUGCAAACAGUCCCUGAAAAAUUGUCUAACCCACAGAAUAACUGCAUAAGGUGGUGAAAUACCUUGAACAAUCUUCGUGUCAUAUACAAUGUACGCCACUCCGUCUCUAUGCUUCAUCGAACGCCACCCCCUUCGCUCGCGAUUCCUCAAGAAUUCCGGCACAAUUUCUCUAUUUUCAUGAAUCUAAAGUUAGUUUCGCAAUCUUGUCUAGCCCUUUUACCAACGGUCAGAACGCAAAAGUUGAAAGCAGCAGUACUGUGUAUGGAAAUCAAGAUAAUGCUGCGAAAUCUUCUGAACGCGUUUCUCAAUCUGGUUCAACCAUUAAAGCACCCACUGCUCCGUGGGUGAAGGGUCCUCUUCUUCUUGAACCCAAUCAAUUAAGAAAUUUUCUUCAAGACCUAGAAAAGAUUCCACCUCAGAUGAAAUUGAACAACACCCUGAUAAGGCCUUGGCUGGUGCCUGGUAAAGUGAAUGGUGGAAGAGGGAAAAAAGCCAUGAAGAAAAUCUUUCAAGGCAUUGAGAAACUCCAAGAAGCCGAAAAUUUGGAGGAAACUCAGUGGGACCCGGAAAAUGUUAAAUUCAGAUUUGCACCUGGUGACUUGUGGGGAAAUGCAGUCUUUGAAAAUGUUGUAGGAGUUCAGGGAGAUUGAAGAAAAUGCCGUGGGAGAGAGAUGAGAAAAAUGUUGAUUAACAGGGUAAAAAAGGAGGAGUUUACCACUGCCGAGUUGGUUCUUGAUGGAAUAUUGAUAAAGAGGUUGCGGGUGCGGGGUGAGGCUGCCAUAACGAGAAAAUGGGCGAAGGUUAAGAAAGCUGGAGUGACUCAAGCUGUUGUUGAUCAAAUUCAUUUUAUUUGGAAGAACAAUGAACUUGCCUUAAUCAAGUUUGAUCUGCCCUUGUGCCAAUACGGAGAGAGCGCAAGAGAUCACUGAGGUUAUGUUUGUUUACCUUUCCUUUUCUUUAUCUACAUAAAUCAGCCUAUACUUCUGAAAUCGUCAGUCUUUUAACAUAAGUUGAUUGUUACAACAAAAAUAUAAAAUUAGAAUAAAAUGAUCACAGUUGUAUAUAUUCUUUUUAUCCAAGCUUUAUCUAUUAAGUCACCCCAUAAGUCUGCAGUCCUUCUGUUUCAGAAAGUUCAAGAUGCACCUCGUGUUAGUGAUCAAGUUGAACAUGAUUCUAGCACUCAAUUCUUAUCCCAUAUGAAUUGUAGACAUGCUUUUAAUUAGUGAUCAAUUUGAACAUGAUUAUUUCUUUGUACUUCCCACUAUAGCACCUCCAAUCCAUUGGGAAAGAAGUUUUUUCUGUAAAUGCAUCAAUUAUUCAGUAUCCUACCUUUAGAACAUUUUGUGAUUGUUAAAAAUAAUUUUAAUUGUAUCCGCAUAUGUUUUUCCUUAGUUGCUGUUAUCUUUGUUAUUUCCCUUUCAUCUUGUUUUUACAUCCUUGUUCUUUCCUUAAAAAUUACAAUGUUGUUUUAGUUGCUUCCUGAUCUCUAGGCAGAUGAAGACUGGAGGCCUUGUUGUGUGGAAUAAGGAAGAUUUUCUUGCGGUUUAUAGAGGUUGCAACUAUUUUCCAGGUUCAAGAAAUUUUUGAAGAUUCAUCAGAACUCAGUCAGCGAUCAAGAAAAUCUAUCCUCAAAUAUGAGUUACCAAAUCACCAGUCCUAUCUGGCUCUCUCUCAAUUAACAUCAAGUGGAAGUAGUCCUUACAAAAUAAAUAAUGGUAUAGAAGGUGAAUGGGAGAUCUUACAAAUCAAUGUACCAAUGUACGAAAGAGAAGCAGGUGGAUUAUUGGAUGGGUUAGGACCACGCUUUGUUGAUUGGUGGAUGCCGAAGCAUUUGCCAGUGGAUGCAGACUUGCUCCCAGAAGUUGUUCCUGGACUUGAGACACUGACGGAUGCUGAACUUACAUAUUUGAGAAAACUCACUCACCCUUUACCAACUGAAGAAUAUGUAAUCUUUAUUCUUAUUUCAAUGAUAAAACAAUGUACAAUUUAUAGGAAAAACAGAAGGAAUAAAUCACUUCCUUAAAUCAAGAAAAGAUUUAAUUUCUUAAACUACUCUGCUGACUAAAUGCCUAAGAAUUGGAAAUGAUAAAAAUAACACCCCUUAAUUGGGGAACUAAUUUACAGCUGCAGGAUCUGCUAGAAAUUAGGACUGAAAAUCAGGAAUUCUAUACCCGCCCUCAAGCUAAGCUAUAAAUGUUAAUUACACCUAGCUUGGAACUUAGUUCUUCAAAUGUUUUUCUUGGUAUCGCCUUAGUGAGAAUAUCUACAGUCUGUUGACAUGUUGGAGUGUAAAGUAGAGAUAUUAUCCUAGACUCUAUUUUCUCUGUGACAAAGUGCUGAUCAGUUUUCACCUGUUUUGUCCUGUCAUGAUGAAUUGGAUUCUUUGCUAUGAUGAUGGCAGAUUGAUUGUUGCAAUAUAUCUUCAUAGGAUCUGUAACUGGAAUAUUUAAUUCUUGAAGCACCCUUCUUAGCCAUAUUACUUCACACAUACCAUGAGCUAAAUCUCUAAAUUUUGCUUCUGCGCUGCUUCGAGAUACAACAGAUUGUUUUUUACUUCGCCAAGUGACUAGAUUUCCCUAGACGUAAGUGCAAUACCCAGAAGUUGAUCGUUGGUCAGUUAGGGACCCGGCCAAUCUUCAGUGAAGAUUUCAACUUCUUUGCUUGAAGUCUUCUUGAAGAAUAAUCCUUUGCCCGGAGUCAUCUUUAGAUACCUUAGAAUUCUAAAAACAGCCUCCAUGCGUUCUUCAGUUGGUUUAUUCAUAAAUUGACUCACCAUAUUGACAGAGAAACUCUGGUCUAGUGUGGGAAAGAUAAAUAAGUUUCCCAACUAAUCUUUCGUAUUUAUCCUUAUCCACAGGUGCACUAUCUUUCCUUGUUCCCAAUUUGAUAGAUGAAUCCAUAGGAGUGUCAACACGUUUACAACCAAGCAUUCCUGUUUCCUUCAGGAGAUCUAGUACAUACUUUCGCCGAGAUACUUAUAUUCAUCUUUUCGAUCAUGCCACUUCCAUCCCAAGGAAGUACUUGAGAUUGCCUAGAUCUUUAAUCUCAAAUUCUUUAGCUAAGAAUCCUUUGAGCUUGAGUAUCUCGUCUUCAUGAUCUCCUGUCAAGAUGAUAUCAUCUACGUACACAAUAAGAAUCGCUCUUUUUUCUGUAGAUGAUUGUUUAAUAAACAUAGUGUGAUUUGCCUGACAUUGAGUGUACCCAAAUCUCUUUAAUGCUUUAUUAAAUCUGUCAAACUAGGCCUUUGGAGAUUGUUUGAGGCCAUAUAAUGAUUUUCUUAGCUAACAAACCUUGUUUAUUGUAGUUUGAGUUGCAAAACCAGGGGUAAUCUCCAUGUAAACCUCUUUCUUUAGGUCUCCAUUAAGGAAUGCAUUCUUUACAUCUAGUUGAUAUAAUGGACAGUCCAGGUUGGAAGCUAAUGACAACAUUAUGCGAACUGUGUUAAGUUUGGCAACAGGAGCAAAUGUUUCUUGAUAGUCAAUUCCAUAGGACUGCGUGAAUCCUUUUGCUACCAAACGAGCCUUAAAUUUGUUUACACUUCCAUCUGCAUUAUGUUUAACAGUAAAGAUCCACUUGCAUCCUACUAGGCGUUUUCCAAUUGGCAGAUCAGAUAUUUCCCAUGUCCUAUUUUGUUCCAAUGCUCGAAUUUCUUCUAAAACUACAGUUUUCCAUCAUGGUACAGCAAGUGCUUCAUGUAUAGAAUUAGGAAUUUGCAUUUUAUCAAGAUUGCUAAUGCUCGAUAACCAGUUGACAGCCCAUUUUAUGAAAUAAAAUUACAGAUAGGAUGGGAGGUGCAGGACCUCACACCUUAUUGCAAGGCAAUCGGCAAAUUAAGAUCAUCAUUAGGAAUUUCAAUAGGAGCCGAAUUGGAGCUGGUGUUAACUGGUGAAAUUUCUAGAGAUUUUGAAGUUGGGUUGGACUCAUAGUUAUGCUCAGGUGGCUGUUCUCUUCUUUCCUGAGUUUUGUUUCUCCUAGUGUAGACAUGUAACUCACAAGAAUCAGCAGGGAUGCUUUGCUUUGGAAUUUGAGAUUUUGGCUUAGAAACUAAAGGUGUUGUCUGGGACUCUAAUGAUGGUAUGUCAGCCUGAACAAUCAUGUUUGGAGUCUGAUUUAAUUGAGGAAUUUCAGUUGAAGGUAUAGACAGAUCCGUGGUGAGAUGGAUUAGAAGUAUCAAUGUCCCAAAGCUGGUAUUCCCGUGUAAAAUUCUCCCCCCGAAUAUCAGAUUUGGGGUAAUAAGGUUGUUGUUCGAAGAAGGAGACAUCCAUGGAUUUGUAGAAUUUUCUUGUAAUUGGAGAGUAGCAUUUAUAACCCUUUUGACUUGAGGAAUACCCAAUGAAGAUACAUUUGAGGGCCUUGGGAUCAAGUUUACUUCGAUGUUGGGGGUGUAUGUGGAUAAACACGGAACAACCAAAAAUUUUAAAUGGAAUGGUGGACAGGACUCGAGUAGUAGGAUAUGAAUGGAGAAGGACUUGGUAGGGUGACUGAAAGUUCAACACUCAUGAGGGCAUUCUAUUUAUUAAAUAUGUAGCAGUUAAUAUUGCCUCUCCCCAAAAAAUUUAGGAACAUGUGUGGUGAACACAAGUGAUCGAGCAACUUCUAAAAGGUGUCUAUUUUUUCUUUCAGCUACCCCAUUUUGUUGGGGCGUGUCCACACAAAAAUUUUGAUGAAUGAUGCCCUGAUUAACUAGAUAAUCUCCUAGGAUGACGUCAAAAUAUUCUCUUACAUUAUCAGUUUUUAACACUUGUAUUUUUGUUUGGAACUAUGUCUGGAUCAUAGUGUCAAGUUUUUGAAGAUUUGACUAAUUUCAGAUUUUUCUUUCAUAAGAAAUAACCAUGUAAUCCUAGAGUGAUCAUCUACAAAGGAUAUGAACCAUCUAGUUCCAGCAAUAUUUUUAAUUCUAGAUGGUCUCCACACGUCACUAUGGAUUAAUGAGAAAUGUUGGAUUUUAUCGCAAUAUUAAAGAGAUGAAAAACGGAAAUCAACACAAGAAUUUUACGUGGUUCGGCGAUGUGCCUACGUCCACGAGAGCGAAGCGGAGAUUUCUUUACUCAGUUGUAAAAAAUAGGGUUACAAUAUAUUAUUUAUACUAACCCUAAUCUGGGCCCAUAUAAAACUUUAAGGCCCGUACAGAAAAUACCCCUGUACUGUACCGCGGGGGCGUUGCCCCCACACCCCCAACCUAUUUAGCGUCCCUAACAACCAGAUAGUGAAUUAAACCUGCGUAAGGCCGAUGCCGUCGCUCCGCUCCUCUCACUCCACUCCGCUCCGCACCAGCAUCGGCCCAUUUGAUCCAGCGCCUAUAUUCCACUCUAUAUGAGCCGCAUGUACAACAAGAAAGGAUGAAAUGCUUUGUAUGGUUUGAUGAAAUAAGAGUUGCGAAUAUGUUUUGCAAAUUGAGAUACUUCACAUUGAAACUCCAUUGGAUUUUUAUUAUUGAAUAAGGAAGGAAAUAACUUCUGAAGAUCCAAGAAAUUUGCAUGACCUAAACGGUAGUGCCACAACAUGAUUUCAGUAUCUUUAUUGAAUUGACAAGUGGAAACAAGGCAUUGAGAAAACUGACUCUUGGGCUUUACUCUUUCUGCUUUGUGAGUUUGUCCUUUAAGAGAUUCAUCAACUCUAAGAAGAUAAAGACUUGAGCACACCUCAGCACUGUCAAUCAUCCUCUCUGAAUUCAAAUCCUGAAAUUCAAACAAAUUUGAAUGGAAUUUAGUAACACACUUAUGUUCUUGAGUGAGCUUACUAGUUGACAGGAGAUUGCAAUUCAAUUUUGGUACAUGAAGCACUGAAUUUAGCUUGAGAUUUCUGGAAAUAAUAAUAGAACCUGUGCCAGCAACCUCGGCGACUGAUCCAUCAUCUAUUUUCAUAGUAAAAUUUUCACAGCAUGGAUUAUAUUGGUCAAAGAGAUUAAUAUCUCCAGUCAUGUGAUCCUAUGCACCCGAGUUUAAAAUCCUUGGAUUUAUUUUUUCUUUAUUUAUUGUAAGAGCACUUAAAGAAUUACCUAUGUGUGCUAAGGAUCUGGUUCCAAUUGUGUUAUCAGGUGGACAACAUCUUCUGUAAUACUUUAAGUUGCUCUUUGCUGAAAGGAUUUGGUUUGGCUAAUGUGGUGGUUUCAUCAGUGAAGACAUGAUUUCCUCGUUUUUCUUUGUUGAAAGGUGGUCUCGUGGGCUUCUAAUCUGCUGGUUUAUCGUGUAUUUUCCAGCAAUUAUCAUCGGUGUGUCCCAAUAUCUUGCAAUAAUUACACCAAGGUCUGCCCUUCUUUUGUCGAUAGUCACUGUUGUGGUGUUGUCUUCCAUGUACAGCAAGGGCUGAAUUUUCAGUGACUGGAACAGUAGAUGGAGAUCCAAGCUUACCUUCCUUCUGCUUUCUUCACGACGCACUUCUGAAAAUGUCUACCGGAUGUUGGGCAAUGGUUUCGAUCCUAGAAUUCUUCCCCGAACCUCAUCAAGGUCCUUGUUAGGACCCAUUAAGAAUUUAAAAAUUCUUUUCUUUUCAAUCAUUUCCUUGUAUUUUUUUUUUGCAUCUGCAGGGCACUCCCAACUAUGUUCUUCGAAGACAUCCAAUCGUUGCCAAUGACGAGUCAGAAUAUUGAAAUAUUGAGUUACCGAUAAAUUACCUUGUCGAAGGUCAUGGAGAAUGGUUUCAAUCUCAAAUGAUUCUGAGGAACAUCAAGAUGUGAAGAAGUUUUAUUUUCUGUAGCCAUGCCGUACUUUGUCACGGAGAUUUCUUAGGUUUCAAAGGUUGCUCUGAUACCACGAAGAAUAUGUAAUCUUUUUUCUUAUUUCAAUGAUAAAACAAUGUACAAUUUAUAGGAAAAACAGAAGGAAUAAAUCACUUCCUUAAAUCAAGGAAAGAUUUAAUUUCAUAAACUUCUCUGCUGACUAAAUGCCUAAGAAUUGGAACUGAUAAAAAUAACACCCCUUAAUUGGGGAACUAAUUUACAGCUACAGAAUCUGCUAGAAAUUAGGACUGAAAAUUAGGAAUUCUACACCAACUCAUUUUGUCCUUGGUAUUUUCCUUACCCUUUUAACUGCACUAUGUCAGUCUCAAUUGAAUUAUUAGAACUAUCUUUGUUAAAAUAUUAUAAAUUGUAUAUAAUAAAGUCUUGUAAAUAUUAUAAAGGAGAAGACCCUAUUUAUAAGGCUACAAAUAACUAUAAAAUGAAAUAACGUAAAAGGAAAGAUUGUGUAAUAAUUACACAAUCAAUUAUUAAGGAAAAUAAUCCUACAUUGUUGUAAAACUAUCGUAUAGAAAUAUUGAUCCUAUAUAUUAUUAUACUCUACUAACAUCCCCCUCAAAUUGAUGCUGGUAAAAGCAUCAAUUUGCAAUCCCGAAUUGGAUGUGCUGUCGAGUCAACAUUUUCGUAGAACCCAUAAACCAAGAACUCAACGUUGCUGAACUUCAAACCUAAGAACUAAUUCAAAACUAGAUAUGAUUCCCGGCAAAGAAUCAAUGUCCGACCAGAAACUGAUGACGCUAAGAAAUCAUCACCAAAACAUCAAAUGCUCGCACCACACUUGAUGCACCGAAGAGUCACACGUUAACAAAAAUUUUGUCAACCGUAGACAACCACAAGAAACCCACACCUAAAAGGCGGAGUUAUGACCAAAGAGAAUCGAAGAUUCAACCACUCCAAAGAUAUUCCAGAGAACUCACUCCACAAGAAGAAUUUCCAAAAGAAAUUCACGAAGUGUGCAGACCCACACAGUGAGCUUUAUCUGUGUUACGAGAAUGAAAACAUUGGGCAUCAAUUUAUCAAUUCCUGAUGCAGAAUCUCACUAGGGAGUUCUUUUAUUGCGCAACAAGUUCUUCAUAAUUCUCUAUAGAUGCCAGGAUUUUGUUCCCUCUCAAGUUGCAAUUCUAGUUUCUGAAAGAGAAAAGGUGCUCACAAGAAACCAACUUCAGGAAGAAACUGCACGGUUAAAAGCGAGGAAUAUGUCUUUGUCAUCAACAAGGAUUUAUUGAAGUGUAGCAGUAUAUUAACUUCAUGAGAAUUCUAUAGCUUUCCAUCAGAAUGCAGGAACCUGAAAAGUGGGAAGACUGAGGUUGAAGUUCAGCUGGAAGCAGAACGGCUGAGAUUGGAAAACGAACUAAAAAAUCAAGAGCAAAAGCAUUUCAUUGAAGAAGAUAGAGAAAUGAGAUAAAACCCUGGCAGCACUAAAUCAUGCUUGGAGUCCUUCUGAGCGACAUUUGGAUCAGAAAAUGAUAAUACAAGAGGAUAGAGAAUGUAUGCGGGAGAUAGGUUUGAAGUUGGAUAGCAGUUUGGUGCUUGGAAGUCGUGACGUUUUUGAUGCUGUAAUAGAAGGCAUUCUUCAGCAUUGGAAGCACAGAGAAAUCGUGAAAGUAGUUACAAUGCAGAAAAAGUUCUCUUAGGUCCUUUACACUGCAAGUUUUCUUGAGGCUGAGAGUUGCGGGAUACUGGUUUCUGUAGAAAAACUUAGAGAAGGCCAUGCUAUAAUUAUAUAUCGUGGGAAGAACGAUAAACGUCCAAAGUCAUCACAUAGAAAUUUGUUGAAUAAAAGAGAUGCAUUAUCUAGGUCACUUGAAAUCCAGAUAAAUGGAUCAUUGAAGUUCUUUGCCAAUCAAAGUGUGAAGGAAAUCUGGGAUCUGAAACGCAAGCUGGCAGAGUUGAACAACAACAGCGAUUGGUUGGAUUUGAAUACAAGCUGAUUGCCAUCAGCCAACAUUUACAUCUUAAUGGGAAUUCUUUGAGUACCUUGUCUUCAUUAUGGUGAAACUAGUACAUGUAGUAUUUGGGUGGGUCGGAGGAAGGGAUUCUUCCAUCAAAUUAAAUUAUGCACAGGUAUGACGUGUACUGCUUACAUUUCACAUUUCUUAACAAAGUUUUCAGGUUUACAUUUUGAGGUGGGAGGAGGUGAUAUGCAUAUGAGCAAACGUGUUUGCUCAUGUUCCAUGAAAGCUGCAUGACUUUGGAUACCGCAUGAUGAAUCGGCAGGCACUUGUCAGAGGAAAGAACAGCCCGCCCCGUGAGAUUCGACCCAGUUGUGCGUAAAAAAUGCUUACCCAGCCUCUGCUGUGCUUUCAAGCACCAUUAGCGACCUUCAUGUUUUGCACCUCAAUUCUGGGGAACGGAAGGAUAAGAUAUCAAGCUUGCCUGGAAAAUUUGACUAGUUGUCUACAGCGUUCUGUUUAGAUUAUUAAACAUUUGAAAAGUUGCAUAUCUAAAUAAAUACACCCACCUUUUUGUUUGACUAA